ensembl:snoRNA K10D3.10 ncRNA
AAUUCACAUUCUUCUUGUCGUUUUCAUCAUUAUUCAUAUUUCACGUACAUUUGUGUAUUCAUGUUGAAUGCAUGCGUUUUUUCAUGUUAGGCACUUUUCCGUUUUUCCCCUUCAUAGUCCCAUCAAACUUUCAUUUCAAUUCUUCGUUUCCUUUUUAUCUAUGUGAAAAUGGCAUCGAAAACGUCUAGAUUCCCUACAACGAUUCCCGUAACACGGGCUCCAAAAUUUCUAGGUUUUUACCCGAUAUCCGCCGUGAGUUGCUCGGGUCGUGCCAACUUCUAAAAUGAGAUCUCUUGGCACAACGAACCGAAAACUCCCGGCGUCU